rnacentral:lncRNA from 1 species
GAAAAUAUAAAUAUUCAAUGUCACAAAAGCUUGAUAACACGUGCAACCAAAUAUAAAGCACUAUAAAAGGCUAAUACUAAUAUGAAGCUCUCAUUUUCAGGUCUCGGGGCAGAUUCAGCCAUUUUAAAAAGGGAGGUUCCAAUCCAUGACAAAAGGGGGAGGGCUUCCAACUAUAUGCCCCAUUUCAAAUUCAUUUAUCGGCCGAAAAAAGGGGAACUUCCAAUCCGGACCCUCCCCCCUGAAUCCGCCACUGGAACUUCAAAAAAUAAUUGUCAAGAU